rnacentral:lncRNA from 1 species
UAACAGGUCAGUUAUAACCAGAGCUUUUCCAGUCAGCCUCACCAAGCAGAACAGAGAUUCAACAAGACCAGCUGGGAGCAAUGGUUGGCCCUUACCAUGGAUCCCAGGACCAGCCUCAUCAGGUGCCUGGUAACUACCAGCAGCCAUCCCCCAGGAGAGCACUAGCUUUCCGAGUGGCAGUCAGCCUUAUUACAACAGCCGUGGCGUAUCUUGAAGAGGGUCUCGUGGUGCCAGUUGCUUGAUGAAUGGAUACAGGGGCACUGCCAAUGGAUUUAGAGGAGGAUAUGACGGUCACUGCCCUUCAUUCUCAAACACUCCAAACAGUGGUUAUACACAGUCACAGUACUACUCUGACUACCAGUGGGCUGGAUAUCAGCAGAAUUUCAAGCAAGGCUCUGGGCAGAGUAGACCACGGGGGGCCCCAUGAAGUCAUGGAGGGCCCCCAAGACCCAACAGAGGGAUGCCGCAAAUGAACACUCAGCAAGUGAAUUAAUGUGAUACACAGGAUUAUGUUUAAUCGCCAGAAGCACACUGGCCAGUGUUAGCAGAAGAGUUAUUAUCUAUUUGUUCUCCCUUUCAGGAAACUUACUGUAAAGGGACUUUUUUCAUCCCAUAAAGACAGGACUGCAAUUGCCAGCUUCAUAUUACCUGGAUACAGAAAGAAAGAAGCUAUUCUUAUUCUGCGUGUUCUGUCCGAAGCGUGCGUCAUCUUGAGCAUUGCACAUGAUAUUCGGAUCCCUCACCCUUGCUUAAGAAUAAAACAUUGUAUACUUACUUAUGGGGUGAUAAUAUCUCCAUAGUUAGUUGAAGUGGCUUGGGAAAAAAAUGCAAGAUUGACUUUUUCACAUUGGAUAAAAUCUACAAUCAGCCAUAGAAUUAUUUAAAGGUAAUUGACAAAGUUAAAACAUUUUCCGUGAAAGGAAGAUGGAGUGGAGGGUGGUUUAGCAAAACUGCAUUUUCCCUUUAAAUUGGAGCACUAACAUAUUAGAAGCAUACCAUAUCAUGCAUGGGUCCUUAAUCACACAAGUGAGGCUGGCUUACCAGCCCUGACAUAGCACCCACUAGUCUUCUGGCCAAACGACCAGGAUUAAAAACUCAUGUAAAUUGUUCUUUAGUAGUGGAUACUGUGUAAGACAAAGCCAAAAUGCAAAUCAGGCUUUGAUUGGCUCUUCUGAAAAAUAUGUAUCAAAUAUGGGCUAUAAUCUGGAUGAGCUGCUUCUAUGUCCAAUGAACUAUUUA